rnacentral:rRNA from 1 species
UGAGGAAUAUUGGUCAAUGGGCGCAAGCCUGAACCAGCCAUCCCGCGUGCAGGAAGAAUGCGCUAUGCGUUGUAAACUGCUUUUCCAGGGGAAGAAAACCUGAUACGAGUAUUGGCUUGCCGGUACCCUGGGAAUAAGCAUCGGCUAACUCCGUGCCAGCAGCCGCGGUAAUACGGAGGAUGCGAGCGUUAUCCGGAUUUAUUGGGUUUAAAGGGUGCGUAGGCGGAUUAAUAAGUCAGCGGUGAAAACCUGCAGCUUAACUGUAGACUUGCCAUUGAUACUGUUAGUCUUGAGUACGGUCAAGGUAGGCGGAAUGUGUAAUGUAGCGGUGAAAUGCUUAGAUAUUACACAGAACACCGAUUGCGAAGGCAGCUUACUGGGCCAUUACUGACGCUGAUGCACGAAAGCGUGGGGAGCGAACAGG